CACGUAGGGCGCGAGCGUUGUCCGGAAUUAUUGGGCGUAAAGAGCUCGUAGGCGGCCUGUUGCGUCCGCUGUGAAAGCCCCGGGGCUAACCCCGGGUCGGCAGUGGAUACGGGCAGGCUAGAGGUAGGUAGGGGAGAAUGGAAUUCCCGGUGUAGCGGUGAAAUGCGCAGAUAUCGGGAGGAACACCGGUGGCGAAGGCGGUUCUCUGGGCCUUACCUGACGCUGAGGAGCGAAAGCGUGGGGAGCGAACAGG
rnacentral:rRNA from 1 species